GCCCGUCAAUUCCUUUGAGUUUCACCGUUGCCGGCGUACUCCCCAGGUGGAAUACUUAACGCUUUCGCUGUGCCACUCAAGGCUCAUUUGCCCCGAACAGCUAGUAUUCAUCGUUUACUGCGUGGACUACCAGGGUAUCUAAUCCUGUUCGAUACCCGCACUUUCGUGCCUCAGCGUCAGUCGGGCGCCGGUAUGCUGCCUUCGCAAUCGGGGUUCUGCGUGAUAUCUAUGCAUUUCACCGCUACACCACGCAUUCCGCAUACUUCUCGCCCACUCAAGGCACCCAGUUCCGACGGCAGGCCGGGGUUGAGCCCCGACAUUUGACCGCCGGCUUAAAUGCCCGCCUACGCACCCUUUAAACCCAAUAAAUCCGGAUAACGCUCGCAUCCUCCGUAUUACC
rnacentral:misc_RNA from 1 species